UACGACUACAUAUCAGGCAUAUCAAUAAGCGGAGGAAAAGAAACUAACUAGGAUUCCCUCAGUAACGGCGAGUGAAGCGGGAAGAGCUCAAAUUUGAAAUCUUCAAGGUUUUACCUUGACGAAUUGUAGUUUAAAGAAGUGUUUUCUGUUGGUGUUUUGGUAAAAGUUCUUUGGAAUAGGACAUCAUAGAGGGUGAGAAUCCCGUAUUUGACCAUUACUUCCAGCGUUGUGAUACACUUUCAAAGAGUCGGAUUGUUUGGGAAUGCAGUCCAAAAUGGGUGGUAAAUUUCAUCUAAAGCUAAAUAUUGGCGAGAGACCGAUAGCGAACAAGUACCGUGAGGGAAAGAUGAAAAGAACUUUGAAAAGAGAGUUAAACAGUACGUGAAAUUGUCAAAAGGGAAGCGUUUGACACCAGUGUUGUUUUCUCGAAAAUCAAUUAAAAAGAAGUUGGAUUUUGUAUUGUUAAGACCUUAUCAGCUUACUGUACUUUUUUCCUGCUCUUUUAAUGCACUUUUCGUUUAACAAGUCAACAUCAAUUUCUUUUGUUGUAAAAGAGUCAUUGGAAGGUGGCUUUCACUUCGGUGAAAGUGUUUAUAGCCUUUGGCUUCUACAAUCGGAGAGAUUGAGGUCUGCAGCGUAGAUCCUUCGGGGUUAGAUACGUAGAUGCUAAGUUAUAGUUUUUUAUAGACAACUUGUUGACUAUGAUUAAUCAUGUAGCUUACUCGUUUACGCUAUUUUACCUACGCUUAGGAUGUUGAUCUCUCACAGUCGAG
rnacentral:rRNA from 1 species